AAGCUAUAGUGAGGGCAUCUCCUCAAAAGUUCUCCAAAUUGCUCUUAUGCUUCAAAUAGGAAUUCUGAUUCAUGUUGUUGGAAGCUAGAUAUUUUUGCCAUAAGCAU